UGCAGUCGAACGGAUCCUUCGGGAUUAGUGGCAGACGGGUGAGUAACGCGUGGGAAGCUACCUUGUGGUAGGGGACAACAGUUGGAAACGACUGCUAAUACCCUAUGAGCCCUAUGGGGGAAAGAUUUAUCGCCAUGAGAUGUGCCCGCGUUAGAUUAGCUAGUUGGUAAGGUAAUGGCUUACCAAGGCGACGAUCUAUAGCUGGUCUGAGAGGAUGAUCAGCCACACUGGGACUGAGACACGGCCCAGACUCCUACGGGAGGCAGCAGUGGGGAAUAUUGGACAAUGGGGGCAACCCUGAUCCAGCCAUGCCGCGUGUGUGAUGACGGCCUUAGGGUUGUAAAGCACUUUCAGCAGUGAAGAUAAUGACAUUAACUGCAGAAGAAGCCCCGGCUAACUUCGUGCCAGCAGCCGCGGUAAUACGAAGGGGGCUAGCGUUGUUCGGAAUCACUGGGCGUAAAGAGUACGUAGGCGGACUGAUAAGUUAGGGGUGAAAUCCCAAGGCUCAACCUUGGAACUGCCUUUGAUACUGUCAGUCUUGAGAUCGAGAGAGGUGAGUGGAACUCCGAGUGUAGAGGUGAAAUUCGUAGAUAUUCGGAAGAACACCAGUGGCGAAGGCGGCUCACUGGCUCGAUACUGACGCUGAGGUACGAAAGCGUGGGGAGCAAACAGG
rnacentral:rRNA from 1 species